UCGAUUUUUAUUCUUUUGGAUUGAGAUUAUUAUAUAUUCUUUGCUGUACACGUUCUUUUUAAACUCGAAGUUUCCUUUUUAUUGUGAUAUUGGAAUCCAAUAUGUUUCAGGUGGUCAUCUGAUUACGUUAUACAGUCUCAUAUAUUUGUGAGCUAUUACGUUAUGCAAUCUAAUAAUAUCUAAGUCUCAAUUUAAACAUUUUACAUCUUGCCUAUUACUUUUACAGCUAAUCCAACACAGAUACCCUAAACUUCCUAAUCUUUCAGCAUGUUAUCAAACACAGGUACUUAGAACUUACUUAAUAUUCCAGGAGGUUUUCAAACACAGAACCCCAUGACUUCUUUAACAUUCCAACAAAUUAUCAAACAUAGAAAUCCAUAACUUUUUACAGUAACUCUUUUCUUCCCGACAAAUGUAACUUCCAAUUUACUGUUUAUAAUUUAACUUCCAGUUAUCAAAUAUACCUUUAGUUGUUAAUGACUGUGACUGAGUAGAACAAAAUACAAUAUAAUUG
rnacentral:lncRNA from 1 species